UAGAGUUAUAACAAACAUCUAGUGAAGUUUAUAAUGCUUGUGGUUCAUCAAGACCCUUCAAAAGUCCUCCCAUUUCCCUCAUAUUUGAGCUAAUCAAGACUGACAUGGCAGAAAUGACGGUUUUCUAGUCUCUAAGUGCCUAACGAUUUUGCUGUGGUGUGCUGUUAAUACUGGGUAAUAGAAGUGAGCAAGGUUGGAAAAAUGGCUUCAUCAAACGAGAGAAGAAAUCUUCAAUGGUGUGAAGGCAAUCACUGGCCAAACGGUAAUAAUUUCGGGUUAUCCGACAAGGUGUUGUCAGAAACAACUGAUUUAUGAUUUAGUUUUUGGCUUAUAAGAAAGUAAGCCAUCCAUCCGAUUUUCCUUUAAUUGGCCGAAAUAUAAAACUUGAACUUCUAUGUGCGCCCAAAUUAAACGUAUUUUUUGUGUUUUCCAAGAAAAAAUAAUCUGUUUUUGUUCUGA